CAGCAGCCGCGGUAAAACGGAGGGUGCAAGCGUUAAUCGGAAUUACUGGGCGUAAAGCGUGCGUAGGCGGUUCGUUAAGUCUGUUGUGAAAGCCCCGGGCUCAACCUGGGAACGGCAAUGGAUACUGGCGAGCUAGAGUGUGUCAGAGGAUGGUGGAAUUCCCGGUGUAGCGGUGAAAUGCGUAGAGAUCGGGAGGAACAUCAGUGGCGAAGGCGGCCAUCUGGGACAACACUGACGCUGAGGCACGAAAGCGUGGGGAGCAAACAGGAUUAGAUACCCCCGUAGUCCCUGUCUCUUAUAA
rnacentral:rRNA from 1 species